UACGUAGGGCGCGGCCGUCAAUCGGAAUUACUGGGCGUAAAGCGUGCGCAGGCGGUUUCUUAAGCCAGAUGUGGAAGCCCCGGGCUUAACCUGUGAAUUGCGUUUGGAACUGGGAGACUAGAGUGUGGCAGAGGGAGAUAGAAUUCCACGUGUAGCAGUGAAAUGCGUAGAGAUGUGGAGGAAUACCGAUGGCGAAGGCAGCCUCCUGGGCCAACACUGACGCUCAUGCACGAAAGCGUGGGGAGCAAACAGG
rnacentral:rRNA from 1 species